UCAGCAAAAUUAAACAACAGGACCGCAGUACGCCAGGAGGGGUGGAGUGCGGAGGCUGGGAGGUGGGAGGAGGCGGGGCAGUGGUCCAGGCAUCAGCAUCCUGGCUAGGCCCUGUCACUAGAUCCCUAUACCCAGGUUCCGGUGUGCACAUCUGUCUUGCACAGAGGUGGUGGGUGAUCGUGGGGUCGAGAGGAAGGUCCUGAACAGUGGGGUCUGAAUGGGGCUGAGACUUGUGCCAAUGCCAGCAUCCACAGGAUGCUUAGAACCACUUGGGUCCCAUCCAAGGAGGUGAGGUAUAAUGUUCAUAAAAGCUAUGCUCCAGGGGCCGUACUGUCCAGGAGGUGGCAGGUGCCUCAUGCAGGCCUCAAAACUGAGUGAAAGGCCAGGUGAGGUUAAUGGGACUCCUGCUUCGCUGUGAGUCCCUCAGGGUACCUGUCACUCAGUGAAAGUUGCGUUCGGGAGAAGAAGAGGGAAGACCCAAGACUGGAGACCCAAGGAAGGGAGGGUUGUGCGGAGGAUGGUGGGGAGAACUGUUUUGUGCGCUAGCAGGGGUAGAGUGCCCAGUACUGGAGGAGAGGUAGUCAGGAUGGGUACUGGACAGAAGAGAGAGCCGUGAGCAGGCAGAUCUGCAGCAGGGGGCCUUGCUCUUAUCGCUAGGCCACUGGAACUCCAGGGAGUAUCCAUUGGCUGGCGUUACACGGGUCACAGAAGCCCCUGUGAGAUCAGUUUGAAGGACCAGCAGGAGGACAAGGAAGGUCCCAGCCAGCAACAGACAGACCUGAGGUCUGGCUGCCGGAGGCUGCAGGGAAAGGACGCAGGGAAGGUGGGAUCGUCUCGGGCAGGGGGCCAGCAGGACAGGCAGGUGGGAGAUGGAGAGUGAAGAGGUUGGUGUGGUCCGACUGUGUGGGGACACUGGGAACAGAUCUCAGAAUGACAGGAGUGUCAUCUCGCAGGGGCCUCUGUCCCACCGCCCACAAGCAGUCUCCAGGCAAACAGUGUCAUCUGUCCUCUUCCUCUCAUCUCUCCUUGCUACUUUCUGUCCCUCACUGUGGUAGCUUCCUCUCCACCCCCGUGACUUUUUGCUGUAUUCUGGGUCUACAGAAAAAGCCAUUCUGAUUGCUAAAUGGGAGUCCCUUGAGUCAGUCAUCGAGCUGGUCCCUAUGGCCAUAGCCAGCAUCUUUCAUUCACCUACUGGGCCUUCAGAUGAGUCAUAGACUACAGACUGAGGAUGGACCUCUAACAGUAUAGACAUUAGGUGCUUAGGGCCCCUCUCUGGGGAGAAAAGGGGUCUGUGAGGGAGACAGCCCUCAGCCCCAGCCCCAUGGGAGAGUCCCUUCCAGGUCUGUCUGAGGUUUGCCUGUGAGUCUCUGUUUGAAGGCUGAAGGGCUGUGAUGGCUUGAGGGUCAGUAGCAAAAAAACAUAACCCGAUGGCCCCUGACUUUCUGUUUCUAUGUAACAGAGACGGUCAAGGUCACGAAGCUUGAAGUGGGUUCUUACAGUCAGGAUGCUGGCACGUUGCCUUUGGUGAUAGGUAGAGUCUUUCAAACGCAGUUUAUUGGUGCAGAAGGCUGACCAGCUUUGCCACACCUGACCAGCAUGGCCAGUCACCUACUCACAUUUCACUGGGGAAAGAGCUCAUCGUUCAAAGGCAGAGGAGAAAAGAUGGUAAAGAGGACACAGAGAUCUAGAGCUGUUUAGAAGUAAUUCCUUGAGGCUAUUCCAAUCUCUGUCUGCCAGAAUCCCAGAAGUCCAAUUCAGUAGUGUCAGGGUAGCACACACGAAUCCGUAGUGGUCGCAUGAUCCAGCAGAAGCAGACAGAUUUUCACCGAACCGGCAGGAGUCAGCUUGAUCGACCAGGACCAGCCAGGAUGCCAGGAGUUCUCAGUCAUGCCUCUCUCAAGGAAGUGAAGAUCAGGAAAGAUGGGACACCAAGAAGAGUUGCCCAGCUAGCUAUGGUGACAAGCCCUGGUCACAUCCACGCUGCAGAUUGCCUCCGAAGCGUUUCCCGGUGAUUCUGUAAAGAUCCAGGUCUCGACUCUGCUGCAAAAUGAAUGAACUGCUCAUCUCACCGGCUCGGAGCGCACCCGGGCCAAACUUCUCGCUUGGCUUUUAUGGGGCUAAUACAUCUGCAGACCGAAUGUAUUAUUUCGGAAAACUUUCUUUCCCCUUUCUCCCCUCCCCUGCCCUUGCCCAGAAAAACUUAUUCCUUUGGCGGAAAUGGUUUCAUCAACGUCUUUAAAAAACCACUCAGAUCUUCUUGGCAACCUCGACUACCAUAAGAGAGUAGCAGAGAGAAUGCAAACGAAGCGGAGGGCAUUAAAAACCCUCCUGCUCCAGCAGUUCGGAGUGGAGAAGGGCCCGAUGAUGGAUGGUACCUGGUUUUCUGCUGAGCGAUUUUGCUCUUUUUACAGCUGCCAAUGGCUGAUGUAUUUCAUCUUUUGUUUCCUUUAUUGCCACUUAAGCAGCCGCCCUCAGGCGAGGGGUAUGUCUCUGGGCACCCACUCAUCCCACCCCCCAUGGGAGGACUUCAGCCAGCUGUUCUGCAAUUGAUGCCUGAUUGGGGAAGGCUCAGAGUGGCCCAGCUGGACGGGGUCCCCAGGGAGCACCCUGGCUACACUGCUGAGCUCAGCUGAUGGGUCUGCUGAGGAGGUGGAAGCGCCUGGAGCUUUUGGGGACAGACAUCUUAUUUUCUUGCACUUGAGUGUAGACGAGGCCCGUUGUGUCAGCCUUUGGGCCAUACAUUGUGCUGGGAGCUGUGUAGAUAUAGAGAUUUGGUGUUUCAGUUCUGUCUACAGAAUCUUACCAUAGGAUGUUAAGAUCAAUUACCAUGUGUGUGGUAGGAGCCUCCCUCUGGCACCUAUACCCAUCCCCACACAUGCAGGCAUGUGUUCAUGCAUGCACACAAGCACGCAUGGAUGCAUACUUACCCAUGACAUGUAGGCGCAUGAAUCAGCAUGCACAGAACAAUGGCCAAGUCCUACCCACUCUCCAGUCUGAGUCUACCCAAACCCCUGUGCACAUGCACACACACACAUUUAUGAACAACCCCCGGGGUAAAGAAGCCAAAGAGUGAAGCAAAACUGUGUUAUCCACAACCAGAAUUCAUGUGCAGGCAAGAAAGCACCCGGGAUGGGCUGGAGAGAUGGCUU